AUAGUGAGAUGAGUUUCAGAAAUGUGGCAAUCAAGAUGGUGGCAGAAAUGCCAGGCAGCUGUUGUUAGUCAUAUUCUCUGGCUUACAUUCUAGACAAGCUGUGAGCAUGGGCAAGCAGGAACACGGGAAAGAGAAAGCUUCUGAUGUUAGGGGGAGAUUCUGGAGGAAGUAAAAUGAGGAAUAGCAGCAGAAGCAGCUGUCAGAGAGGCAGGGAGAGGAGGAAGAUGGCAUCAUGGUAUGCGUGGCAGAAACCAGUGGAGGAGUUGGUUCCAGGUGAAUUGUCAAGACUGCCAUACAUUUCAGGGAAGUCAAGGCUAGGACUCCUGCAUGAAGGUGGAAGGACUCAUUCAACCCACUAUGCAUUCAUUAGGUAGCUUCCAUCUGCCUGGCCUUGUAUUUGGGCAAGAGAAAGAGAAAAACGAGUCUCUCUGCUCUUGAAAGCCCCAGGAAACCUUCUUAAAACAGACCUGGGUUGAAAUGCUAAUAGUAGAUUCCCUGGGAAUCCCCUACUGUAUAUUUUAUUAGUG
rnacentral:lncRNA from 1 species